rnacentral:rRNA from 1 species
GAUGAACGCUAGCUACAGGCUUAACACAUGCAAGUCGAGGGACCGGCGCACGGGUGAGUAACACGUAUCCAACCUGCCCUUUACUCGGGGAUAGCCUUUCGAAAGAAAGAUUAAUACCCGAUAUAAAGGAUGGGGAUGCGUUCCAUUAGGUUGUUGGUGAGGUAACGGCCCACCAAGCCUUCGCUGGAUAGGGGUUCUGAGAGGAAGGUACCCCACAUUGGAACUGAGGCACAGUCCAAUCUCCGACGGAGGGCAGCAGUGAAGAAUAUUGGUCAAUGGGCGUUAGCCUGAACCAGCCAAGUAGCGUGAAGGAUGAAGGCUUAUGGGUCGUAAACUUCUGUUAUAUAAGAAUAUGUAUUAUAUGAAUAAGGAUCGACUAACUCCGUGCCAGCAGCCGCGGUAAUUC